UGCAGAGCUGGUAGUCAGACCUAACCAGCCAUGAACAGCUGCUGUCAGACUGUUCGUGUCCGCAAUGGAAAGACAGAGAAUCAGGUUCGCCUGUUCUACAUCUCCUCCAGGAUCUUGGAGUGGAUAAAUAUGCUUUGCAAAUCAGAGGGAUGGCGCUUGCUGGUGUCAAGUGACCUGUAGUGUCCUCUUUCAUACAUCAUACAAGCCUGCAAGGAGUUUCUGGCAUUAUACAUACCUUACCCAAGGGCAUAGAGUGGCUGUGGUGUGACAUCUCAAUUAUCUCUGCAUCACAGUCUACCGGAGGGUUACAGGACUGUCAGCAGUGAAGUUGAACCAGGGACCCUCCUGAAACGUGUUUGUUUUUCUCAAACGUGAAGCCUCCUCCAUGUAUUGCUGCUCAAGAAUGACCCACAAAAACCUAGGACAUAUAACAUGAUUGUGGUAGAAAA